GACGAACGCUGGCGGCGUGCUUAACACAUGCAAGUGGAGCGACGAACCGGGCUUCGGCCCGGGGCAAAGCCGCGAACGGGUGAGUAACACGUGGGUAACCUGCCCCGAUGACCGGGACAACCCGAGGAAACUCGGGCUAAUACCGGAUGUGUCCCACACUCAUGAGGGUGUGGUGCAAAGGUAGCUUCGGCCUCCGCAUCGGGAUGGGCCCGCGGCCCAUUAGCUUGUUGGUGGGGUAACGGCCUACCAAGGCUGCGAUGGGUAGCUGGUCUGAGAGGACGAUCAGCCACACUGGGACUGAGACACGGCCCAGACUCCUACGGGAGGCAGCAGUGGGGAAUCUUGCGCAAUGCGCGAAAGCGUGACGCAGCAACGCCGCGUGGGGGAAGAAGGCCUUCGGGUUGUAAACCCCUUUCAGUUGGGACGAAGCUUUGCCGGUGAAUAGCCGGCUGGAGUGACGGUACCUUCAGAAGAAGCCCCGGCUAACUACGUGCCAGCCGCCGCAGUAACAC
rnacentral:rRNA from 1 species